UACGAGGGGGGCAAGCGUUGUUCGGAAUUAUUGGGCGUAAAGCGUGCGUAGGCGGUUGUUUAAGUCUGCUGUGAAAUCCCCGGGCUCAACCUGGGAAUGGCAGUGGAUACUGGACAGCUAGAGUGUGUCAGAGGAUGGUGGAAUUCCCGGUGUAGCGGUGAAAUGCGUAGAGAUCGGGAGGAACAUCAGUGGCGAAGGCGGCCAUCUGGGACAACACUGACGCUGAGGCACGAAAGCGUGGGGAGCAAACAGG
rnacentral:rRNA from 1 species